rnacentral:rRNA from 1 species
CACGUAGGGGGCGAGCGUUGUCCGGAAUCAUUGGGCGUAAAGAGCUCGUAGGCGGCUCGGUAAGUCGGGUGUGAAACCCCCAGGCUCAACCUGGGGACGCCACCCGAUACUGCUGUGGCUAGAGUCCAGUAGGGGAGUGUGGAAUUCCCGGUGUAGCGGUGAAAUGCGCAGAUAUCGGGAGGAACACCCGUGGCUAAGGCGGCUCUCUAGUACGGUACUGACGCCGAGACGCGAAAGCGUGGGGAGCGAACAGG